AUUGAACGCUGGCGGCAGGCCUAACACAUGCAAGUCGAACGGUAACAGGAAGAAGCUUGCUUCUUUGCUGACGAGUGGCGGAAGGGUGAGUAAUGUCUGGGAAACUGCCUGAUGGAGGGGGAUAACUACUGGAAACGGUAUCUAAUACCGCAUAACGUCGCAAGACCAAAGAGGGGGACCUUCGGGCCUCUUGCCAUCGGAUGCGCCCAGAUGGGAUUAGCUAGUAGGUGGGGUAACGGCUCACCUAGGCGACGAUCCCUAGCUGGUCUGAGAGGAUGACCAGCCACACUGGAACUGAGACACGGUCCAGACUCCUACGGGAGGCAGCAGUGGGGAAUAUUGCACAAUGGGCGCAAGCCUGAUGCAGCCAUGCCGCGUGUAUGAAGAAGGCCUUCGGGUUGUAAAGUACUUUCAGCGGGGAGGAAGGGAGUAAAGUUAAUACCUUUGCUCAUUGACGUUACCCGCAGAAGAAGCACCGGCUAACUCCGUG
rnacentral:rRNA from 1 species